GAAGGAGUCAAGAUGGAGUGAGAGAAUUUGGUGGUUAUGCCUAGUUUGACAGAUAGUACAAGUUUUUCAUAAACCUAGUUUCUAAACCAAAGGAAACUUUGGCUAAACAACAGAUAAUAUCUAAAUUUUCAUUAAUCUUGCUCAUUAAUAUCUAUUUCAGUACCUCUAUUGCAACUAUACUUGCACACUCCUCUAAAGUAUGUCUAUAGUCUCCUUUUCAGGGACUUUCUGACAGAAAUGCCAUGAAGAAGUGAGUCAGUAAAAUAUUUGCCAAAGCUUCCCUAAAUACCAUCUAUCUCAUGACUUUACAUUUCCUGUGAAGGAGGAACUCUGUGGCAUCCCAGUGUAAUGGAAAGGACGUGGACGCUGUGCUAACACUUAUCUCUUCACCCCUCACGAGCAGCCUGAAGUCUGGUUGGAUUGGCUCCCCCUUUUUGCUCAGAUAUGCUUUUCGUGAUCAUACGUCCUUCCCAUGAAUACUAAAUGAU
rnacentral:lncRNA from 1 species